rnacentral:rRNA from 1 species
UUAAAUUGAGAGUUUGAUCCUGGCUCAGGACGAACGCUGGCGGCGUGCCUAACACAUGCAAGUCGAGCGAUGAAACUUCCUUCGGGGAGUGGAUUAGCGGCGGACGGGUGAGUAACACGUGGGUAACCUGCCUCAAAGAGGGGGAUAGCCUCCCGAAAGGGAGAUUAAUACCGCAUAACAUUAUUUUAUGGCAUCAUAAAAUAAUCAAAGGAGCAAUCCGCUUUGAGAUGGACCCGCGGCGCAUUAGCUAGUUGGUGAGGUAAGGGCUCACCAAGGCGACGAUGCGUAGCCGACCUGAGAGGGUGAUCGGCCACAUUGGAACUGAGACACGGUCCAGACUC